GUCCGUUUUCCGUGAACUGUUACGUCACCAUUUAACAUUAUUUUCCCGCCUCUUUCCCUUUGGAAGAAGGUGUGUGUUCUGAUCUGCUUCUGACAUUAUAAGGGAAUGGGGAUGUGCCACUCAUGCAGUAAGCCAAUGCCUAGUGAGAGGGGAGAAAGAGAAUCAUAUCCACGGACUUGAAAUCAGCUCACCAGACUAAUGAUGGCAGGCAGAUGACACUGGGAGAGGGACAUCCUAAAGAUGGGCAGAGACUUGGGCACCACUCCACCACUGGCACCAGUAACCAUUCCAUGACCUUCCUCUCAAAGGUCAGGGUGAAGAGCAUAUGCACACUGAAAACGGUCUGUGACCCAAAGGGGAGCUCUGCAAUGACCAAAGAACAGCCUCAACUCGUCGGGGCAAGGUGUCGAAAACGUUCCACAGGGAUGCUGGCCCAUGUUGACUCCAAUGCUUUCCAUAGUUGUGUGAAGUUGGCUGGAUGUCCUUUGGGUGGUGUACCAUUUUUGAUACACACAAAUGUUUAGCGUGAAAAACCCAGCAGAGUUGCAGUUCUUGGCAAAAAACAGUCAUAUUUGGAGUUAAAAUACUGAUAAAAUCUCAAAAUGAAUUUCUCGGUUUAACAUCUUUGCUGCAACACAGCUACUUUCUGAAACAAUACAAAAGCAGGACUAUAGCUAUGCUAUUAGUUUGUGUUGGUUCUUGCGUGAGGUUACGUGGUGGAAAGAUUUAAUCUGAUGCGUUAUUUAUGGUGUGUGAUUAUUUAUUUAUUUGAUUAUUUUGUAAAUUAUUUAUCUAUUGAAAUAUUAAUUCAUCUUCAUGACAUGCCUUACAUUAUUCAUGACUUCAUUUGAGAUUAUUGCAUCUACAUGCCACAUUGUUGUAGUGUAGGAUUGCCUUUUCACAUCAAGUCAGACAAGGAAAUUAAAUCCACCUCUGAGGCUAUUUUGUCUUGAACUGAGGAGAAGUAGAGAAAUGAUCCUGUAAGGAUGCUAUUUGCAUACAAUCUGUGGUCACACUGGAAAGAGAUGGACACAUUUGUCUUGUUCACAUUAAGGUGUGAUCUAUAUACUGUGUUGUUAUAUCCUUCUUUUGUGACAAUAUUAGGUUACUAUUUUCUUCAUUUCCUGACUAAUCAAAGUUUGUGAAUCCAAUAUGGAAAUGCAGGAAGUGUAGAAUGUAACUUUAAUGCAGAAUGUGCUUACUUUUUUAAACACCUGAGGAAAAUGAAUAUGAUAAUCAGCUGGUUGCGUGUGGUAUUGGGUGCCAUUUUGUUGAAGGCCUGUGUCCUGUUGCUUCCUGCAUUUAAAUGGCUCACAACAAAACGACGAAAGCUGUGUUGUGUGAUCAAGACAGCUGUCAGAUAGACAGAAUGUGGGGCAUGCAUUAAUUCUCGAUGCAUA